rnacentral:piRNA from 1 species
UCACGAUCAGAGGGACGGAUCCAGCUC